CCUACGGGUGGCAGCAGUGAGGAAUAUUGGUCAAUGGACGAGAGUCUGAACCAGCCAAGUAGCGUGAAGGAUGACUGCCCUAUGGGUUGUAAACUUCUUUUAUAUGGGAAUAAAAUGUUCCACGUGUGGGAUUUUGUAUGUACCAUAUGAAUAAGGAUCGGCUAACUCCGUGCCAGCAGCCGCGGUAAUACGGAGGAUCCGAGCGUUAUCCGGAUUUAUUGGGUUUAAAGGGAGCGUAGGUGGAAUGUUAAGUCAGUUGUUAAAGUUUGCGGCUCAACCGUAAAAUUGCAGUUGAAAUUGGCGUUCGUGAGUGGGCGAGAAGUAUGCGGAAUGCGUGGUGUAGCGGUGAAAUGCAUAGAUAUCACGCAGAACUCCGAUUGCGAAGGCAGCAUACCGGCGCCCAACUGACGCUGAUGCACGAAAGCGUGGGUAUCGAACAGGAUUAGAUACCCUUGUAGUC
rnacentral:rRNA from 1 species